CUUCUCUUUUUCCCCCAUUUUUUUCAUUUCCCACGCCCAUCCUUUGCCACCACGAUAUUCGCUUCUAUUUCUCUCCCCGGAACCCCCAACAGUCUCCGAUCUCCUUUCUUCAACCAACUCGGAUACCCAUUUACAUUUUUCCCCAACUCCCACAUAUUUUCAAUUUCCAUUCCCCAAAUCGAAACAAACAUCCCCAACGAAUUUCUCCCUCUCAUAAUCAACUCUUCCAGCCCUAAAUCCAUGGCCGCCGCUCUGGAUACUGAAUUCUCUACCUCAUCCCAGCACGUGAUGUGGUUCGUCAGCACGCUACUCAGCCAUGUGUGAGCAUUUUCAGUUGAGCCGCUCGUCCUGUUCUUCAAAACCAAAAACAGAGUCUAUGAUUCGGCUGUUUGAGAUCUCCAUAAGCUCGACAGAAUCGGCCAAAUCUGCUUCACCGCGUGGGUUAUUGAUUCUUUGGCUCUCUGGAUUGUGUUAAUUACUUUGGGAAUGGAUUUCCUCAGGAAAGAUUGUAAGAAAUGACCCGUUCGUGGUUUUGAUUUCUCGAGGAAAGGGAAAUUCUGAGGUGGCCAUUUCAAUGAGGAUGAUGGGUUGUAUGCCUUGUGGCAUAGGUUGUGAAGGAAGGAGAGAUCAUUUUCAGAUGGGUCUGAUUUGAUAACUUUGUUGGUAAUGAAAAUGGCUUAGCACAAAACUGCAGCAAAACAGAGGAUCGUGGGGAUGGUUUUGGAGUGGGAAGUUUUUGGGGGUUGAAGAAGUGGUUUAUAUUGCCGGUUGUUGUUCCGGUAUACCAGUGAUUUUGACGCAGACAAUUCAGGCUAGUCCACGACGGAGGAACUUGAGGCAAGGUGUCCUAGAUGCAAUUCCCGAGGAUAAAGAAGUUGGAAAUGAGGAGAAUGGAAGUAAUGGGUUGAUUCGGCACCAGAAAGUGCAGACACCUUUGGAAGAGACAUGGAAGGCAUUGUCGUCAUUCGCCUGUCUCCGCCGUAGCGCCGCAAGGUUCGUUCUACCCUAUACUUUUAAUGAUGUUGUUUGUGUGUUUUUUAGGUGUUUGGAAGGGGUGUGGAGGAGAUGGAUUUAUUACAACAACGAGGGAUUCACGUAAAAAUUGUUCCUGGUAAGUGCAUUUUUUAAUGCUUGCAGUUUUAAGAACAAUUUCUAAGUGUUUUCAAGUGACUCUAAUGAUAUGGAAAUUCUUGUUUGAGAAGUUAAAGUGUGCUUAUUUCUCUUUGGACCAUAUUGGAUUAGAAUGUAACACCCGCUUAUGACUCAUGGUUACUAUUUAUUUGUAGUUUAGAUUUGAUUCAAGGCGCUUGAGUUUGUGGGUUGCACUAUGGUAGUUUGUGGUUUAUUCACGCAUUAUGGUACUUUUUGUAACAACUUUUGAGAUUUGAAGUACACUGUAAGCUAAAUUUGCUUAUUGAUGUAUGUGUUCUUGAAUAUUCAUUUUUUGGGAAUUCUAAUAGUUCUGUUGAGAACAAGUGUUUGUGAAAUAUUUUUAGGAGUGUGUUUCUUUGAACAGGUUCAAGGUAAGUUUUUGGUUUUGUUGUGGUAGUAUCGUUAUGCUGCCGAAAAUUUUCCAUCGUCUUCAUAUCUCAUAUCUAGGUGCAACAAAGGAGUAAAGAUUUGGUAUCGCAAUCUCUUUAUGCUUUUUCUUGGGGAACUCU